GUGCCAGCCGCCGCGGUAAUACAGAGGUCCCAAGCGUUGUUCGGAUUCACUGGGCGUAAAGGGUGCGUAGGUGGCGGGGUAAGUCGGAUGUGAAAUCUCCGAGCUCAACUCGGAAAUGGCAUUGGAAACUGCUCUGCUCGAGGGUUGGAGGGGGGACUGGAAUACUUGGUGUAGCAGUGAAAUGCGUAGAUAUCAAGUGGAACACCAGUGGCGAAGGCGAGUCCCUGGACAACUCCUGACACUGAGGCACGAAAGCUAGGGGAGCAAACAGGAUUAGAUACCCCGGUAGUCC
rnacentral:rRNA from 1 species